CCCCCAUGUAAUGCGAUUUUUAAUUGGAAUCCCCCUCGAAACGCGAUUGGGAUAGUUUUGGCCUAGUUUUGAGUAGCGAUUGGGCGGGUUUUCUUGUGAAAACCUGGCAACCCUGAUUCUCUCAGAACCACGGCCUGUGACUGGAAAGAGUCAGAAUCUCAUUUCAGCUCUUUGGACAUCAUGGAGGGUCGACUACGCCACGACACAAGAUUCAGCUACAUCCUCAGAAGCAGCCUGCCCUCCUCUAACCUGACCACCAAUUCAGUCAAUGCCACACAUGUCUUCAGUGUGUUCGAUGGGUGUGAAGAAAUGGUGGCCGGUGUUGUUUUUGACCUAGCCAUACAAUGCUUCAACGUGAUCAUAGGAAUACCUGCCAACAUCCUGGUUCUUGCAAACCUAAUAAAGACCCGAAAUGAACCAUUAACUUCCGACAUCUUCCUGGGCUGCCUGGCUUUCAUGGACGCCUACUUUGGAUUCAUGACAAUCAUAGCGUUCCUCACUUUCUACCACUGGAGGAGCGCUAUGGGUUGGAGAGCUAUGAAGUUCUCAUACGGCGUGAAGGACACCAGUGGGCCGCUCUUCCUCUCCUGCGUCUGUCUGGAUCGCUUUAUAGCUGUUGUCUUUCCCAUUGCAUUCGGACAACUGAAGGACAUCAAAUACAGGAUCAGCCUUACCAUCGUGGUUCUGCUGCUCACUUUUGCUUAUGCUUCAGCCAAAACCAUUGGUGGCAUCCACAACUUUGAGAAGGUUUUCACUGGUGAG
ensembl:lncRNA